rnacentral:rRNA from 1 species
AUACGUAGGGGGCGAGCGUUGUCCGGAAUGAUUGGGCGUAAAGGGCGCGUAGGCGGCCGCUUAAGUCUGGAGUGAAAGUCCUGUUUUCAAGAUGCGAAUUGCUUUGGAUACUGGGGGGCUUGAGUGCAGGAGAGGUUAUCGGAAUUCCCGGUGUAGCGGUGAAAUGCGUAGAGAUCGGAGGAACACCAGUGGCGAAGGCGGGUAACUGGACUGCAACUGACGCUGAGGCGCGAAAGUGUGGGGAGCAAACAGGAUUAGAUACCCUGGUAGUCCACACUGUAAACGAUGAAUGCUAGGUGUAAGAGGUAUCGACCCCUUUUGUGCCGGAGUCAACACAAUAAGCAUUCCGCCUGGGGAGUACGGCCGCAAGGUUGAAACUCAAAGGAAUUGACGGGG